rnacentral:rRNA from 1 species
UACGUAGGGUGCAAGCGUUAAUCGGAAUACUGGGCGUAAAGCGUGCGCAGGCGGUGAUGUAAGACAAGUGUGAAAUCCCCGGGCUUAACCUGGGAACUGCAUUUGUGACUGCAUCGCUGGAGUGCGGCAGAGGGGGAUGGAAUUCCGCGUGUAGCAGUGAAAUGCGUAGAUAUGCGGAGGAACACCGAUGGCGAAGGCAAUCCCCUGGGCCUGCACUGACGCUCAUG